AUUGAACGCUGGCGGCAGGCCUAACACAUGCAAGUCGAGCGAGCGGCGGACGGGUGAGUAAUGUAUGGGAAACUGCCUGAUAGAGGGGGGUAACUACUGGAAACGGUAGCUAAUACCGCAUACCAUCAGAUGUGCCCAUAUGGGAUUAGCUAGUAGGGUGGGUAACGGCUCACCUAGUCGACGAUCCCUAGCUGGUCUGAGAGGAUGACCAGCCAACCUGGAGCUGGGACACGGCCCAGACUCCUACGGGAGGCAGCAGUGGGGAAUAUUGCCCAAUGGGCGCACGCCUGAUGCAGCCAUGCCGCGUGUGUGAAGAAGUCCUUCGGGUUGUAAAGCACUUUCAGCGGGGAGGCGUUAACUGCAGAAGAAGCACCGGCUAACUCCGUGCCAGCAGCCGCGGUAAUAC
rnacentral:rRNA from 1 species